UGCAGUCGACGCUGAGCAUCCAGCUUGCUGGGUGUGGAUGAGUGGCGAACGGGUGAGUAACACGUGAGUAACCUGCCCCUGACUUCGGGAUAAGCCUGGGAAACUGGGUCUAAUACCGGAUAUGACUACUGGCCGCAUGGUCUGGUGGUGGAAAGGGUUUUACUGGUUGGGGAUGGACUCGCGGCCUAUCAGUUUGUUGGUGGGGUAGUGGCCUACCAAGACGACGACGGGUAGCCGGCCUGAGAGGGCGACCGGCCACACUGGGACUGAGACACGGCCCAGACUCCUACGGGAGGCAGCAGUGGGGAAUAUUGCACAAUGGGGGGAACCCUGAUGCAGCGACGCCGCGUGCGGGAUGACGGCCUUCGGGUUGUAAACCGCUUUCAGUAGGGAAGAAGCGAAAGUGACGGUACCUGCAGAAGAAGUACCGGCUAACUACGUGCCAGCAGCCGCGGUAAUACGUAGGGUACAAGCGUUGUCCGGAAUUAUUGGGCGUAAAGAGCUCGUAGGUGGUUGGUCACGUCUGCUGUGGAAACGCAACGCUUAACGUUGCGCGUGCAGUGGGUACGGGCUGACUAGAGUGCAGUAGGGGAGUCUGGAAUUCCUGGUGUAGCGGUGAAAUGCGCAGAUAUCAGGAGGAACACCGGUGGCGAAGGCGGGACUCUGGGCUGUAACUGACGCUGAGGAGCGAAAGCAUGGGGAGCGAACAGGAUUAGAUACCCUGGUAGUCCAUGCCGUAAACGUUGGGAACUAGGUGUGGGGUCCAUUCCAGGGAUUCCUUGCCUUAGCUAACGCAUUAAGUUCCCCGCCUGGGAGUUCGGCCGCCAAGCCUAAACUCCAAAGAAAUGAACGGGGCCCCCACCAACGGCGGAACCUGCGGGAUAAUUCCGAUCCAAGCGGAGGAACCUAACCAAGCCUUGCAUUCAACCGGAACCGGCAGAAAUUAUUCCCUUCUUGGGCCGGGGUUCCAGGGGGUCCAGGUUUUUCUUAAGUUCGGUUCGGAGAAGGUGGGGUUAAUUCCGCCACGAAGCCCACCCUUCUUUUUAGUUUCCCACCCGGGGAGGUGGGAAAUCCAGGAAGGCCUCCGGGGUUCACUUGGAAGAAAGGGGGGAAGGCGUCCAAUUCUCCAUCCCCUUAAGUUUUUGGCUUCCCGCCUUCUUCCAUUGCCCGUUCCGAAGGGGGCGAUUCCCUGAAGUGGAAGGAAUUCCCGAAAACCCGUUUCCAUUUGGAUUGUUAUUUGCCACUUGGAUUCCGGAAAUUGGAAUUCGUUGUUAUUGCCGGUUCACCACCGUUCCGGGAAUUCCUUUCCCGGCCUUGUUCCCCCCCCCCGUCCAAUCCAGAAAAUUGGUUACCCCCGAAACCGGUGGCCUUAACCUUGUGGGGG
rnacentral:rRNA from 1 species